CCAUUUUCUCUCAUAUUUUACAAUAACAGAGUCGGAUUUCAGCGAGGCUCCAACUCAGAGAGGCAUGGACCGAUAUCUGGACAGUCUGUUUGACCCCGUGUUGUCUGAUGGCAGUGGGGAUCUAGAGAAGCCAGCCAGCAUAUCCAGCCGCAUGAAGGGAGCCGGUGGAGUUGGAGGUGGGAAUGGUGACGAGGAGAAGGAGCAGUCCAGCAGGCCCUAUCCUCCUGGACUGCAGCCCGGCGCCGUACCCGUUUUACCUGUUAUGGGAGGAGCAAUGAUGCCACCUAUUCCUAUGCCAGCUAUGCACUCUGUGCCCACUAUGCCUGCACCUACAUCCAUAACCUCAGUGCCCACAGCACCCCCUGUUUCCCCAAAACCUUCAGUGUCUUCAAUGCCAGCUAUGCCUUCUAUGCCAGCUUUGCCUGCUAUGCCACCUAUUCCAGCUUUACCUAAUGUGCCACCACUGACUGAUGUGCCAGGAGUGGAUCACAACAUCUUAGCACAGCAACAGCAAGCCAUCAUCAAUCAGCAAGCAAUUAUACUGGCUCAACAAAUGACCAUGCAGGCGAUGGCCCUUCAGCAGCAGAUGUAUAAUUCAGUGGGAGGGCCGUACUCUGGUCCCCCUCAUCACAGCGAGCAUAUACCAAUGUCUCACUCUGGCCAAUCCAGCCCCACGAAGUUUGAAACUGGACCAAUACCGUACACUCAAGCUCCUGUUGCCCCUGCAAACAGGCCUUCUCGACGUCAUCACAGCCCAUCCAGGACAGUACCAACAGAAAAUGUAGUCAAGUCCACCAUCUCAAACUCAGAGCAUCUAGAACCAAGCCACAACAUCAAAGACAUAAUCAAACAGUAUCAGCCCGGUCCUGUCAAGCCAGUAGAGAUCCCAAGGUUUGUGCUCUCUUUUUA
ensembl:lncRNA